rnacentral:lncRNA from 1 species
AUGAGAACUUGCUUGCAUAAGUGCCCUCCUACACAUGCAAUAUGCCCUUCUUACUUUUGUAACGGAUCCCUUCCAGUUGAAAUUUGGGCCAAGAGGAAAAAAUGAUACAGGUCGCCAACCAACCAACAGCAAAGCCUGCAGAGGAGGGCCAUUAACUCUUGUGAAUUACAAAAUGAAGAGGUCUUUACAGGACUUCUGCAAAGUCCUACUGGGUUCAGCCUUAAAAUAUAAUUGCAGAUCUCUUGUAUGUCAGCAAAAAACAAAACAACAGCAACAAAAACACUGCAGAAGAAAAAUGGCAAGGAACAUGAAUAAAUGGUUCAUAGAAGGGGAAAUAAACAGCCGAUGUAGAUGAAAGCUAUCAUGGUCAUUUAUCGGGUUGCCUGCCCAAGGUUCAUUUCCCCAUCAGAUUUCCCUUGAGAAGUUACCACUUUCCCUCUGGUUAUGAUUCAGUAGGGUUGUGAUCAGGGCACUGCCCUUUCCCAGCCUGAGGGUAGGACUGUAGCCCGGGGGUCAAUUGGAACUUGAAUGUUAAGAGAGGAAUAGAGACCAAAGCUAUUGGGGU